UGUAGUUCUGAUUAACAUUUACAAGUUUUCUGGAAACAACAGAUAUAGCUAAGAAGUCAAAUAACUAGGAGGACUGUCUUUGGAGAAGUUAUCUAAAAUGCUAACAGACUUGAUUAUAGCUAAUAUUACAGAAGAGUCUGCAUAGAGUUUCAAUUGAUUAAACACAUUAAGUGAUUAAACUUUCACAUUUGAUAUAGUUUCUUUUCCUGGAAUGGACUAGAAAACAAGAACAUGCUGUCCAAGAUUUCCAUCUGCUUAUGUACUUACAGGAAAGAGAAAUGUGAAGUCAAAGAUCUCCAGAGUACAAAAUAUGGGGCUCUAUUCUCAAGCCAAUGGAAGACUACUAUAUUCUGUUAUUCUUUCAGAUUGCUUACUCUGCUACCAACCAUGAUUUUUCAUAAAUCCAAGAGGAUUUUUCACAGAUGACAUUUUUGGCUAAGGUUCAUUUAUUAUAGAUACAGUUUCCUACGGUGACAACGGAAUUAUUGAACCUUGCCAGAAACAGUAAGACUGCCUAAUGAACAGGUUCUUGAUCUCUCUGGACCUAAUAUAAUGCUGGCUACAAAUUCAAAAAGAAUAUACUGAAUUAAGAAAGAAAUGAUCCUAGAGCUACCAACAGUCAAAAGAGGCUCAGAACAAUAUGGACACACCAAGUUUCCCUAAUUCCUGUCAAGAAAGGCAUAUGAUGAACCCAAAUCCAAGUCCCAGUUUACAAGCUAAUUUUACUCAAGUUUCUAGUACCUGUAGUCAGAUUGAAAAAAGAGAACAGAAAUGGAUAUGUUCCCCAAAGGACUGAUCAAAGAUAAUAAGAAUAAAUAGCAAAUAAUUUUCAACAUCCAGAUAUUAACUUCCAGGCUACUGGUCAAGAAAAUCCCAGAAAUAGGCUGGGCACAGUGGCUCAUGUCUGCAA
rnacentral:lncRNA from 1 species